AGUCCCGUGGUGUAGUGGUCAAGCAUACAGGCCUUUGGAGCCUGUGACGGCGGUUCGAAUCCGCCCGGGACUA
rnacentral:tRNA from 1 species